rnacentral:tRNA from 1 species
GGGGAGGUGCCAGAGUGGACGAAUGGGGCCGCCUGCUAAGCGGUUAUCGGGUGGUAACGCCCGAUCGCAGGUUCGAAUCCUGUCUUCCCCG